UUAAAAAGCUCGUAGUUGAAUUUCGGGGUUAGUAGGUUGGUCAUGCCUCUGGUAUGUACUGGUCUCACUGAUUCCUCCUUCCUGAUGAGCCGUAAUGCCAUUAAUUUGGUGUUGCGGGGAAUUUGGACUGUUACUUUGAAAAAAUUAGAGUGUUUAAAGCAAGCUAACGCUUGGAUACAUUAGCAUGGAAUAAUGAAAUAGGACGUUCGAUCCUAUUUUGUUGGUUUCUAGGAUUGACGUAAUGAUUAAUAGGGAUAGUUGGGGG
rnacentral:rRNA from 1 species